UGGCGGACGGGUGAGUAACGCGUGGGUAACCUGCCUUGUACUGGGGGACAACAGUUGGAAACGACUGCUAAUACCGCAUAAGCGCACAGCUUCGCAUGAAGCGGUGUGAAAAACUCCGGUGGUACAAGAUGGACCCGCGUCUGAUUAGCUGGUUGGUGAGGUAACGGCCCACCAAGGCGACGAUCAGUAGCCGGCCUGAGAGGGUGAACGGCCACAUUGGGACUGAGACACGGCCCAA
rnacentral:rRNA from 1 species